rnacentral:rRNA from 1 species
GAUGAACGCUAGCUACAGGCUUAACACAUGCAAGUCGAGGGGCAGCAUUUUAGUUUGCUUGCAAACUAAAGAUGGCGACCGGCGCACGGGUGAGUAACACGUAUCCAACCUGCCGAUAACUCGGGGAUAGCCUUUCGAAAGAAAGAUUAAUAUCCGAUGGUAUAUUAAAACCGCAUGGUUUUACUAUUAAAGAAUUUCGGUUAUCGAUGGGGAUGCGUUCCAUUAGUUUGUUGGCGGGGUAACGGCCCACCAAGACUACGAUGGAUAGGGGUUCUGAGAGGAAGGUCCCCCACAUUGGAACUGAGACACGGUCCAAACUCCUACGGGAGGCAGCAGUGAGGAAUAUUGGUCAAUGGACGAGAGUCUGAACCAGCCAAGUAGCGUGAAGGAUGACUGCCCUAUGGGUUGUAAACUUCUUUUAUAUGGGAAUAAAGUAUUCCACGUGUGGGAUUUUGUAUGUACCAUAUGAAUAAGGAUCGGCUAACUCCGUGCCAGCAGCCGCGGUAAUACGGAGGAUCCGAGCGUUAUCCGGAUUUAUUGGGUUUAAAGGGAGCGUAGGUGGAUUGUUAAGUCAGUUGUGAAAGUUUGCGGCUCAACCGUAAAAUUGCAGUUGAAACUGGCAGUCUUGAGUACAGUAGAGGUGGGCGGAAUUCGUGGUGUAGCGGUGAAAUGCUUAGAUAUCACGAAGAACUCCGAUUGCGAAGGCAGCUCACUAGACUGCAACUGACACUGAUGCUCGAAAGUGUGGGUAUCAAACAGGAUUAGAUACCCUGGUAGUCCACACGGUAAACGAUGAAUACUCGCUGUUUGCGAUAUACAGUAAGCGGCCAAGCGAAAGCAUUAAGUAUUCCACCUGGGGAGUACGCCGGCAACGGUGAAACUCAAAGGAAUUGACGGGGGCCCGCACAAGCGGAGGAACAUGUGGUUUAAUUCGAUGAUACGCGAGGAACCUUACCCGGGCUUAAAUUGCAUUUGAAUAAUCUGGAAACAGGUUAGCCGCAAGGCAAAUGUGAAGGUGCUGCAUGGUUGUCGUCAGCUCGUGCCGUGAGGUGUCGGCUUAAGUGCCAUAACGAGCGCAACCCUUAUCUUUAGUUACUAACAGGUCAUGCUGAGGACUCUAGAGAGACUGCCGUCGUAAGAUGUGAGGAAGGUGGGGAUGACGUCAAAUCAGCACGGCCCUUACGUCCGGGGCUACACACGUGUUACAAUGGGGGGUACAGAAGGCAGCUACCUGGCGACAGGAUGCUAAUCCCAAAAACCUCUCUCAGUUCGGAUCGAAGUCUGCAACCCGACUUCGUGAAGCUGGAUUCGCUAGUAAUCGCGCAUCAGCCAUGGCGCGGUGAAUAUGUUCCCGGGCCU